CGGAGUCUAGCAUGUGCGCGAGUCAUUGGGAUUAAACCUAAAGGCGCAAUGAAAGUGAAGGUCAGCCUGCGCGGCAAGGGAAGAUGGGCGCGCGCUCCGCACUCCCGGGGCGUCUCGUUCUCAUCGCGAGAAGAGGCGCACCCAGAGCGUACACGCUGGGACCCGAAAGAUGGUGAACUAUGCCUGGUCAGGACGAAGUCAGGGGAAACCCUGAUGGAGGUCCGUAGCGAUUCUGACGUGCAAAUCGAUCGUCGGAACUGGGUAUAGGGGCGAAAGACUAAUCGAACCAUCUAGUAGCUGGUUCCCUCCGAAGUUUCCCUCAGGAUAGCUGGCGCUCGUCUUGUACGAGUCUCAUCCGGUAAAGCGAAUGAUUAGAGGCAUUGGGGUCGAAACGGCCUCAACCUAUUCUCAAACUUUAAAUGGGUGAGAUCUCCGGCUUGCUCGACGGAUCAGAGUGCCAAGUGGGCCAUUUUUGGUAAGCAGAACUGGCGCUGUGGGAUGAACCAAACGCCGAGUUAAAGCGCCUAAAUCGACGCUUAUGGGAUACCAUGAAAGGCGUUGGUAACUUAAGACAGCAGGACGGUGGCCAUGGAAGUC
rnacentral:rRNA from 1 species